UACGUAGGCAGCAAGCGUUGUUCGGAGUUACUGGGCGUAAAGGGUGCGUAGGUGGCUCUAUAAGUAUGGUGUGAAAUCUCCCGCUUAACUGGGAGGGUGCGCCGUAGACUGUGGGGCUAGAGUGUGGGAGAGGAAAGUGGAAUUCCUGGUGUAGCGGUGAAAUGCGUAGAUAUCAGGAGGAACACCGGUGGUGUAAACGCUUUCUGGACCGAUAA
rnacentral:rRNA from 1 species